rnacentral:rRNA from 1 species
GAUGAACGCUGGCUACAGGCUUAGCACAUGCAAGUCGAGGGGAAACGACGGGGAAGCUUGCUUCCCCGGGCGUCGACCGGCGCACGGGUGAGUAACGCGUAUCCAACCUGCCUCUGACUGAGGGAUAACCCGUCGAAAGUCGGCCUAAUACCUCAUGGUAUCGUCUGCGGGCAUCCAACGACGAUUAAAGAUUUCAUCGGUCAGGGAUGGGGAUGCGUCUGAUUAGCUUGUUGGCGGGGUAACGGCCCACCAAGGCUACGAUCAGUAGGGGUUCUGAGAGGAAGGUCCCCCACAUUGGAACUGAGACACGGUCCAAACUCCUACGGGAGGCAGCAGUGAGGAAUAUUGGUCAAUGGGCGAGAGCCUGAACCAGCCAAGUAGCGUGCAGGAAGACGGCCCUAUGGGUUGUAAACUGCUUUUAUGCGGGGAUAAAGUGAGGGACGUGUCCCUCAUUGCAGGCACCGCAUGAAUAAGGACCGGCUAAUUCCGUG